ACAUGAAGCUGGAAUCGCUAGUAAUCGCGGAUCAGAAUGCCGCGGUGAAUACGUUCCCGGGUCUUGUACACACCGCCCGUCACACCAUGGGAGUCGGAAAUGCCCGAAGUCGGUGACCUAACUGAAAGGAAGGAGCCGCCGAAGGCAGGUCUGGUGACUGGGGUGAAGUCGUAACAAGGUAAC
rnacentral:rRNA from 1 species